ACGCUGGCGGCAGGCCUAACACAUGCAAGUCGAGCGGUAGAGAGGAGCUUGCUCCUCUUGAGAGCGGCGGACGGGUGAGUAAUGCCUAGGAAUCUGCCUGGUAGUGGGGGAUAACGUUCGGAAACGGACGCUAAUACCGCAUACGUCCUACGGGAGAAAGCAGGGGACCUUCGGGCCUUGCGCUAUCAGAUGAGCCUAGGUCGGAUUAGCUAGUUGGUGAGGUAAUGGCUCACCAAGGCGACGAUCCGUAACUGGUCUGAGAGGAUGAUCAGUCACACUGGAACUGAGACACGGUCCAGACUCCUACGGGAGGCAGCAGUGGGGAAUAUUGGACAAUGGGCGAAAGCCUGAUCCAGCCAUGCCGCGUGUGUGAAGAAGGUCUUCGGAUUGUAAAGCACUUUAAGUUGGGAGGAAGGGCAGUAAAUUAAUACUUUGCUGUUUUGACGUUACCGACAGAAUAAGCACCGGCUAACUCUGUGCCAGCAGCCGCGGUAAUACAGAGGGUGCAAGCGUUAAUCGGAAUUACUGGGCGUAAAGCGCGCGUAGGUGGUUUGUUAAGUUGGAUGUGAAAUCCCCGGGCUCAACCUGGGAACUGCAUUCAAAACUGACUGACUAGAGUAUGGUAGAGGGUGGUGGAAUUUCCUGUGUAGCGGUGAAAUGCGUAGAUAUAGGAAGGAACACCAGUGGCGAAGGCGACUACCUGGACUAAUACUGACACUGAGGUGCGAAAGCGUGGGGAGCAAAC
rnacentral:rRNA from 1 species